rnacentral:lncRNA from 1 species
GGAAACUUUCAUGACAUUUUUGUUUCAGCUGUCCCAAUGCUUUGAUCCCUUGCUGCUGGGAUGGGGCGUUUGCAGAAUGACAAUGUCCAGUCAGAUGUUGGGGAUGAGUCUGCGCACCGGGGAGGGUGGGUGGUGAGCCUUAUGAACCAGUGCCUGCAGAUGGGGUUUGUGGAGAAAGAGGUCCUGCAGGCCUUGUGUGAUACCCAUGGAGCUAUAGUGAGGCUGCAUCAGUGUAAAACACCAGAAAUCCCCAGAGGUGUGAAGGAAUCCAUGUGGGUCUUUUUAUGAAGAAUAGCCUCGUUGUGCAGCUUAUGAAUUAAUUCAUUCACGCCUUUUAGCUGGUUUUCUUUCCUACAUGAAGCUGCAAUUGAAAUGGACACUUUGUGAUCUGAUCCCCUCUGGCAUGCUCAGAUCAGCCAAGUUGGCAAGGUCUGGCACAGGCUCAUAGGCGAGGCCACAGCAGCUCUUCCGUUGUGACACAGAGCAGGGACAUAGAAGUUGAAGAAGGCCCCACAG